UCAAGUGAAGAAGCGCAUACGGUGGAUGCCUUGGCAGUCAGAGGCGAUGAAAGACGUGGUAGCCUGCGAAAAGCUUCGGGGAGUCGGCAAACAGACUUUGAUCCGGAGAUCUCUGAAUGGGGGAACCCACCUAGGAUAACCUAGGUAUCUUGUACUGAAUCCAUAGGUGCAAGAGGCGAACCAGGGGAACUGAAACAUCUAAGUACCCUGAGGAAAAGAAAUCAACCGAGAUUCCCUUAGUAGUGGCGAGCGAACGGGGAUUAGCCCUUAAGCUUCAUUGAUUUUAGCGGAACGCUCUGGAAAGUGCGGCCAUAGUGGGUGAUAGCCCCGUACGCGAAAGGAUCUUUGAAGUGAAAUCGAGUAGGACGGAGCACGAGAAACUUUGUCUGAACAUGGGGGGACCAUCCUCCAAGGCUAAAUACUACUGACUGACCGAUAGUGAACCAGUACCGUGAGGGAAAGGCGAAAAGAACCCCGGAGAGGGGAGUGAAAUAGAACCUGAAACCGUAUGCGUACAAGCAGUGGGAGCCUACUUGUUAGGUGACUGCGUACCUUUUGUAUAAUGGGUCAGCGACUUAUAUUCAGUGGCAAGCUUAACCGUAUAGGGUAGGCGUAGCGAAAGCGAGUCUUAAUAGGGCGUUUAGUCGCUGGGUAUAGACCCGAAACCGGGCGAUCUAUCCAUGAGCAGGUUGAAGGUUAGGUAACACUGACUGGAGGACCGAACCCACUCCCGUUGAAAAGGUAGGGGAUGACUUGUGGAUCGGAGUGAAAGGCUAAUCAAGCUCGGAGAUAGCUGGUUCUCCUCGAAAGCUAUUUAGGUAGCGCCUCAUGUAUCACUCUGGGGGGUAGAGCACUGUUUCGGCUAGGGGGUCAUCCCGACUUACCAAACCGAUGCAAACUCCGAAUACCCAGAAGUGCCGAGCAUGGGAGACACACGGCGGGUGCUAACGUCCGUCGUGAAAAGGGAAACAACCCAGACCGCCAGCUAAGGUCCCAAAGUUGUGGUUAAGUGGUAAACGAUGUGGGAAGGCUUAGACAGCUAGGAGGUUGGCUUAGAAGCAGCCACCCUUUAAAGAAAGCGUAAUAGCUCACUAGUCGAGUCGGCCUGCGCGGAAGAUGUAACGGGGCUCAAACCACACACCGAAGCUGCGGGUGUCACGUAAGUGACGCGGUAGAGGAGCGUUCUGUAAGCCUGUGAAGGUGAGUUGAGAAGCUUGCUGGAGGUAUCAGAAGUGCGAAUGCUGACAUGAGUAACGACAAUGGGUGUGAAAAACACCCACGCCGAAAGACCAAGGGUUCCUGCGCAACGUUAAUCGACGCAGGGUUAGUCGGUUCCUAAGGCGAGGCUGAAAAGCGUAGUCGAUGGGAAACAGGUUAAUAUUCCUGUACUUCUGGUUACUGCGAUGGAGGGACGGAGAAGGCUAGGCCAGCUUGGCGUUGGUUGUCCAAGUUUAAGGUGGUAGGCUGAAAUCUUAGGUAAAUCCGGGGUUUCAAGGCCGAGAGCUGAUGACGAGUCGUCUUUUAGAUGACGAAGUGGUUGAUGCCAUGCUUCCAAGAAAAGCUUCUAAGCUUCAGGUAACCAGGAACCGUACCCCAAACCGACACAGGUGGUCGGGUAGAGAAUACCAAGGCGCUUGAGAGAACUCGGGUGAAGGAACUAGGCAAAAUGGCACCGUAACUUCGGGAGAAGGUGCGCCGGCUAGGGUGAAGGAUUUACUCCGUAAGCUCUGGCUGGUCGAAGAUACCAGGCCGCUGCGACUGUUUAUUAAAAACACAGCACUCUGCAAACACGAAAGUGGACGUAUAGGGUGUGACGCCUGCCCGGUGCCGGAAGGUUAAUUGAUGGGGUUAGCGCAAGCGAAGCUCUUGAUCGAAGCCCCGGUAAACGGCGGCCGUAACUAUAACGGUCCUAAGGUAGCGAAAUUCCUUGUCGGGUAAGUUCCGACCUGCACGAAUGGCGUAACGAUGGCGGCGCUGUCUCCACCCGAGACUCAGUGAAAUUGAAAUCGCUGUGAAGAUGCAGUGUAUCCGCGGCUAGACGGAAAGACCCCGUGAACCUUUACUGUAGCUUUGCACUGGACUUUGAGCCUGCUUGUGUAGGAUAGGUGGGAGGCUUUGAAGCGUGGACGCCAGUUCGCGUGGAGCCAUCCUUGAAAUACCACCCUGGCAUGCUUGAGGUUCUAACUCUGGUCCGUAAUCCGGAUCGAGGACAGUGUAUGGUGGGCAGUUUGACUGGGGCGGUCUCCUCCUAAAGAGUAACGGAGGAGUACGAAGGUGCGCUCAGACCGGUCGGAAAUCGGUCGCAGAGUAUAAAGGCAAAAGCGCGCUUGACUGCGAGACAGACACGUCGAGCAGGUACGAAAGUAGGUCUUAGUGAUCCGGUGGUUCUGUAUGGAAGGGCCAUCGCUCAACGGAUAAAAGGUACUCCGGGGAUAACAGGCUGAUACCGCCCAAGAGUUCAUAUCGACGGCGGUGUUUGGCACCUCGAUGUCGGCUCAUCACAUCCUGGGGCUGAAGCCGGUCCCAAGGGUAUGGCUGUUCGCCAUUUAAAGUGGUACGCGAGCUGGGUUUAGAACGUCGUGAGACAGUUCGGUCCCUAUCUGCCGUGGACGUUUGAGAUUUGAGAGGGGCUGCUCCUAGUACGAGAGGACCGGAGUGGACGAACCUCUGGUGUUCCGGUUGUCACGCCAGUGGCAUUGCCGGGUAGCUAUGUUCGGAAAAGAUAACCGCUGAAAGCAUCUAAGCGGGAAACUUGCCUCAAGAUGAGAUCUCACUGGGAACUUGAUUCCCCUGAAGGGCCGUCGAAGACUACGACGUUGAUAGGCUGGGUGUGUAAGCGUUGUGAGGCGUUGAGCUAACCAGUACUAAUUGCCCGUGAGGCUUGACCA
rnacentral:rRNA from 1 species